CUUGCUUUUGGUGGAACAUAUAAUAAACCCAGAAGAAUAUAGAAAAGAUGUGCACAGCCACACACAAGGAUGACAGACAAAUUCCUGCAGUGUUUCAUGGUUUU
rnacentral:snRNA from 1 species